UACGGAGGGUGCAAGCGUUGUUCGGAAUUACUGGGCGUAAAGCGCGCGUAGGCGGUUUGCUCAGUCAGAUGUGAAAGCCCUCGGCUUAACCGGGGACGUGCAUUUGAAACUGGCAGACUUGAGUAUUGGAGGGGGUGGUGGAAUUCCCGGUGUAGAGGUGAAAUUCGUAGAUAUCGGGAGGAAUACCGGUGGCGAAGGCGACCACCUGGCCAAAUACUGACGCUGAGGUGCGAAAGCGUGGGGAGCAAACAGG
rnacentral:rRNA from 2 species